GUAGAUAUCUGGAGGAAUACCGAUGGCGAAGGCAGCCAUCUGGCCUAAUACUGACGCUGAGGUACGAAAGCAUGGGGAGCAAACAGGAUUAGAUACCCUGGUAGUCCAUGCCGUAAACGAUGUCUACUAGCCGUUGGGGCCUUUGAGGCUUUAGUGGCGCAGCUAACGCGAUAAGUAGACCGCCUGGGGAGUACGGUCGCAAGACUAAAACUCAAAUGAAUUGACGGGGGCCCGCACAAGCGGUGGAGCAUGUGGUUUAAUUCGAUGCAACGCGAAGAACCUUACCUGGCCUUGACAUACUAAGAACUUUCCAGAGAUGGAUUGGUGCCUUCGGGAACUUAGAUACAGGUGCUGCAUGGCUGUCGUCAGCUCGUGUCGUGAGAUGUUGGGUUAAGUCCCGCAACGAGCGCAACCCUUUUCCUUAUUUGCCAGCGGGUCAUGCCGGGAACUUUAAGGAUACUGCCAGUGACAAACUGGAGGAAGGCGGGGACGACGUCAAGUCAUCAUGGCCCUUACGGCCAGGGCUACACACGUGCUACAAUGGUCGGUACAAAGGGUUGCUACCUCGCGAGAGGAUGCUAAUCUCAAAAAGCCGAUCGUAGUCCGGAUCGCAGUCUGCAACUCGACUGCGUGAAGUCGGAAUCGCUAGUAAUCGCGGAUCAGAAUGCCGCGGUGAAUACGU
rnacentral:rRNA from 1 species